AAAGGGGAAGCAAGCACAUCUUCACAUGGCAGCCAGAGAGACAGACAGAGAGUGAAGAGGGAAGUGCAACACACUUUUAAACAACCAGAUCAUGUGAGAACUUACUAUCAUGAGAACAGCAAGGGGGUAAUCUGCCCCCAUGACCCAAUCACCUCCCCCCAGGUCCCUCCCCCAACGUUGGGGAUUACAAUUCAACAUGAUAUCUGGGUGGGGACACAGAGCCAAACCAUAUCACCAUGGUACUCCUUGACUUGUAGAUAUCCAACCUCUUCCUCUAUCUUCACGGGACAUUUUCCCUGUUUCUCUGGGUCUUCAUAUGACCGAUUUUUUUUUUAUAUGUAUGCCAGUUAUAUUGGGAAUAGGGCCUACCUUACUCCAAUGUGACCUCAUCUUAACUAAUCAAAUCUGCAUGUGAAAUAAUUAAAUCAGAAUGUGACUUCCAAACAAGGUCACAUUCUGAGAUACUGAGGGUUAAAGCCUUCAACACAUUAUUUUGGAGGGAAAACAAUUCAACUCAUAACAGUAGAGGUAUCCAAACUUUUAUGAACAUACACACCCAAAAUUAAAAUAUAUUGUGCACAUACCUCAUUAUGUCUGUGUGGUUAUGUGACAUAUAUAUACGCGCGUAUAUAUACACACAUAUAUACAUAUACGCGCGUAUAUAUAUACACAUAUAUACGCGCG
rnacentral:lncRNA from 1 species